rnacentral:misc_RNA from 1 species
UUGUUAUGGGGGUGAAGGGGU